GCAGGGAGAAUUUAGUGGUAGAAUUCUCGCCUUCCAUGCAGGAGACCAGGGUUCGAUUCCCGGCUAGUGCA
rnacentral:tRNA from 1 species